UUCUUUCGCUUAAUAUUUUCAGAGCACCUACCUAUUAUAGGCACUGUCACUUCUCACAAAACUGGGACAACUAACUGUUUAUCCAACAUCUGCUGGCUAAAUAAAGACAUGAUCUUCACCUUUUGGGAUUGUUAAUUUAAAAUGGUUCCAUAAGAGCAAUGCAAAGACAGAGAUAUUUGGCAGCACUGCAGCUGGUGAUUUAUAUGGCUCUUCACAAGGUGUUAUUUUGGGGUAUCAAGGUAUGGAUGCUUAAAUCAGCUGCAGGAAGUAAGAAAGAAGAAAAAAGGAGUGAUAAAGAUAAAAAAAAAUCAACCUUGGUCCUUCCACCAAGACCCAUUAAUUUCCAUAUCAUCAUCUGCAUAAGAGGGAAGAUUCCUACAUGACCAGGUUACUGCAAGGAUGUGAAUUUUGAAUAUUAAAAUAUUAUACACAAUUGGAAA
rnacentral:lncRNA from 10 species